GACAGAGGAUGCAAGCGUUAUCCGGAAUGAUUGGGCGUAAAGCGUCUGUAGGUGGCUUUUUAAGUCCGCCGUCAAAUCCCAGGGCUCAACCCUGGACAGGCGGUGGAAACUACCAAGCUGGAGUACGGUAGGGGCAGAGGGAAUUUCCGGUGGAGCGGUGAAAUGCGUAGAGAUGUGGAGGAAUACCGAUGGCGAAGGCAGCCCCCUGGGAUAACACUGACGCUCAUGCACGAAAGCGUGGGGAGCAAACAGG
rnacentral:rRNA from 1 species